rnacentral:rRNA from 1 species
UACGUAGGGUGCGAGCGUUGUCCGGAAUUAUUGGGCGUAAAGAGCUCGUAGGCGGUUUGUCGCGUCGGCCGUGAAAACUUGGAGCUUAACCCCGAGCCUGCGGUCGAUACGGGCAGACUUGAGUUCGGCAGGGGAGACUGGAAUUCCUGGUGUAGCGGUGAAAUGCGCAGAUAUCAGGAGGAACACCGGUGGCGAAGGCGGGACUCUGGGCCGAUACUGACGCUGAGGAGCGAAAGCGUGGGGAGCAAACAGG